UACGAAGGGGGCUAGCGUUGCUCGGAAUCACUGGGCGUAAAGCGUGCGCAGGCGGUUUUGUAAGCCAGAUGUGAAAUCCCCGGGCUCAACCUGGGAACUGCAUUUGGGACUGCAAGGCUAGAGUACGGCAGAGGGGGGUAGAAUUCCUGGUGUAGCAGUGAAAUGCGUAGAUAUCAGGAGGAAUACCGAUGGCGAAGGCAGCCCCCUGGGCUGAGAUUGACGCUCAGGCACGAAAGCAUGGGGAGCAAACAGG
rnacentral:rRNA from 1 species